UACGGAGGAUCCGAGCGUUAUCCGGAUUUAUUGGGUUUAAAGGAUGCGUAGGCGGUUUGAUAAGUUAGAGGUGAAAUGUCGGGGCUCAACCCCGAAACUGCCUCUAAUACUGUUGGACUAGAGAAUAGUUGCGGUAGGCGGAAUGUAUGGUGUAGCGGUGAAAUGCUUAGAGAUCAUACAGAACACCGAUUGCGAAGGCAGCUUACCAAACUAUAUCUGACGUUGAGGCACGAAAGCGUGGGUAGCAAACAGG
rnacentral:rRNA from 1 species